GUUCUGUUCUCUGGUCUCCCAAGGCCCUUGAUUUAUGGGGUCCCCACAGACGGAAGCUUUCCCCCCAUCAGCAGGUCUCCACUGAAUCAGCGGCAGGAGUCCUGGAUGAUCCCCGGUCGCGCGGCCCCCUCCCCCGCUCCUUCCCUACCAGCGCCGCAGCGAUAGCAGAAUCUAGGGGAGGGAGCGACAUUCUCUCCUACCGUUCCAGCGCCUCUGAGACUAAUGAAGUUGAUCAUAUUCCCCAUUCUGCUCCAAGGAGGUUGGCAUUGGGACUAAAACUGAAGUAGUAAAGUUGGAUCUGAAUAAUGUUUGGAGGUGAACUGACUAUAAAGCUCAAGAGAGGAAGAUAAUGUGAAGAUUUAUGAAUAAGAAAUUUAUAAGAAUAACGUUAUACUGAAGGAUGAGGCAAAGUUCUGAAAUAGAAUCAAAUCAUUUGGUGCAGAAACUUUCAAGCCAUGGAGAGAGAAGCAUUUGAAGUCAUUUAUAUUUAGACAAAGCCUGUCUGGUCGCUUACAGUUAGUCACAAAACGCCUUUUGCCAGUUGGAGUCUGUGUCCAUGUUUUGGAAGAAGCUGCAGCGUGACUGGGGCAGGAAGCUCUACUCGAUUUAAUCGUCUAUUCGUUUGGAUCCUCUUGGAGCGUUCAACUGCUUCACCCACCUCCUAGGAGAAACAGACACGGAGCGGUAGGAGAACUAUUCUUAUCCCCAUCCGGGGAUCAG
rnacentral:lncRNA from 1 species